GAUGAAGAACGUAGCGAAACGCGAUAUGUAAUGUGAAUUGCAGAAUUCAGUGAAUCAUCGAAUCUUUGAACGCACCUUGCGCUCCUUGGUAUUCCGAGGAGCAUGCCUGUUUGAGUGUCAUUAAUAUAUCAACCUCUUCAGCUUAUGCUUGUUGAGUGUUGGAUGGUGGGGGUUUGCUGGUGUCUUAUGAAGUCAGCUCCUCUGAAAUGCAUUAGCGGAACAAUUUGUUGACCGUUCAUUGGUGUGAUAAAAAUAUCUACGCUAUUGACGUCAGUCAGUUCAGCUUCUAACAGUCCAUUGACUUGGACAAAUUUUUCAUUAAUGUGACCUCAAAUCAGGUAGGACUACCCGCUGAACUUAAGCAUAUCAAUAAGCGGAGGA
rnacentral:misc_RNA from 1 species